UACAGGGGGUGCAAACGUUGCUCGGAAUCAUUGGGCGUAAAGCGCACGUAGGCGGUUCGUUAUGUCGGAUGUGAAAGCCCUUGACUUAACCGAGGAAGUGCAUCCGAAACUGGCGAGCUAGAGUACGAAAGAGGAUCGCGGAAUUCCCGGUGUAGAGGUGAAAUCCGUAGAUAUCGGGAGGAACACCGGUGGCGAAGGCGGCGCUCUGGGCUGGCACUGACGCUGAGGAGCGAAAGCGUGGGGAGCGAACAGG
rnacentral:rRNA from 1 species